rnacentral:tRNA from 3 species
GGAGUGGUAGUUCAGCUGGUUAGAAUACCUGCCUGUCACGCAGGGGUCGCGGGUUCGAGUCCCGUCCAUUCCGCCA